rnacentral:rRNA from 1 species
UACGUAGGGUGCGAGCGUUAAUCGGAAUUACUGGGCGUAAAGCGUGCGCAGGCGGUGAUGUAAGACCGAUGUGAAAUCCCCGGGCUCAACCUGGGAACUGCAUUGGUGACUGGCAGGCUAGAGUAUGGCAGAGGGGGGUAGAAUUCCACGUGAAGCAGUGAAAUGCGUAGAGAUGUGGAGGAAUACCGAUGGCGAAGGCAGCCCCCUGGGCCAAUACUGACGCUCAUGCACGAAAGCGUGGGGAGCAAACAGG